AACGAACGCUGGCGGCAUGCCUAACACAUGCAAGUCGAACGAUACCUUCGGGUCUAGUGGCGCACGGGUGCGUAACGCGUGGGAACCUGCCCUUAGGUUCGGACUAACUCCCCGAAAGGGGUGCUAAUACCGGAUAAUGUCUUCGGACCAAAGAUUUAUCGCCUUUGGAUGGGCCCGCGUUGGAUUAGCUAGUUGGUAGGGUAAAAGCCUACCAAGGCGACGAUCCAUAGCUGGUCUGAGAGGAUGAUCAGCCACACUGGGACUGAGACACGGCCCAGACUCCUACGGGAAGCAGCAGUGGGGAAUAUUGGACAAUGGGCGAAAGCCUGAUCCAGCAAUGCCGCGUGAGUGAUGAAGGCCUUAGGGUUGUAAAGCUCUUUUAACCGGGAUGAUAAUGACAGUACCGGGAGAAUAAGCGCCGGCUAACUCCGUG
rnacentral:rRNA from 1 species